GCGAAUCAUGAGGUGCUUGCACCUCUUGGUUAGCGGCGGACGGGUGAGUAACACGUGGGCAACCUGCCUGUAAGACUGGGAUAACUUCGGGAAACCGGAGCUAAUACCGGAUAAUCCUUUUCCUCUCAUGAGGAAAAGCUGAAAGUCGGUUUACGCUGACACUUACAGAUGGGCCCGCGGCGCAUUAGCUAGUUGGUGAGGUAACGGCUCACCAAGGCGACGAUGCGUAGCCGACCUGAGAGGGUGAUCGGCCACACUGGGACUGAGACACGGCCCAGACUCCUACGGGAGGCAGCAGUAGGGAAUCUUCCGCAAUGGACGAAAGUCUGACGGAGCAACGCCGCGUGAGCGAUGAAGGCCUUCGGGUCGUAAAGCUCUGUUGUUAGGGAAGAACAAGUACCGGAGUAACUGCCGGUACCUUGACGGUACCUAACCAGAAAGCCACGGCUAACUACGUGCCAGCAGCCGCGGUAAUACGUAGGUGGCAAGCGUUGUCCGGAAUUAUUGGGCGUAAAGCGCGCGCAGGCGGUCCUUUAAGUCUGAUGUGAAAGCCCACGGCUCAACCGUGGAGGGUCAUUGGAAACUGGGGGACUUGAGUACAGAAGAGGAAAGCGGAAUUCCACGUGUAGCGGUGAAAUGCGUAGAGAUGUGGAGGAACACCAGUGGCGAAGGCGGCUUUCUGGUCUGUAACU
rnacentral:rRNA from 2 species